CCUACGGUGGCAGCAGGCGCGAAAACUUUACAAUGCUGGCAACAGCGAUAAGGGGACCUCGAGUGCCAGGUUACAAAUCUGGCUGUCGUGAUGCCUAAAAAGCAUUGCAUAGCAAGGGCCGGGCAAGACCGGUGCCAGCCGCCGCGGUAACACCGGCGGCUCGAGUGGUAACCGUUAUUAUUGGGUCUAAAGGGUCUGUAGCCGGCCGGAUAAGUCUCUUGGGAAAUCUGGCAGCUUAACGGUCAGGCUUUCAGGAGAUACUGUCGGGCUCGAGGCCGGGAGAGGUGAGAGGUACUUCAGGGGUAGGGGUGAAAUCUUGUAAUCCUUGAAGGACCACCAGUGGCGAAGGCGUCUCACCAGAACGGACCUGACGGCAAGGGACGAAAGCUAGGGGCACGAACC
rnacentral:rRNA from 1 species